AUUAGCCCAUUUAGAACAAAUUAAGCCCACUUGAUUCGGCCCAAGAUACAAAUUCAGGGUUACAUGUUGGUCAUCCUCUAGGUUUUACUGCUACGGACAUUCUUGCUAGAUUGAAACGUAUGCAAGAUUACUCUGUUUCGCACCCAAUCGGCUGGAAUGCAUUUGGAUUGCCUGCGGAACAAUAGGCUAUUGAGGUUUGCUCUUCCAGCUUCCAGUUAGCUUACAAUGCCUGAAUUUGAUGAUUUUACACCCACGGGAACAGGGGAAGCUCCACUUGCAAAAGCAGAUUCUUGGGUAACCGAAGAAGUUGAAGGGACACGGUUCAACACAGGAAUCUCAGCUACUAUGGAGUUCGUUAACAUGGCAUAUAGGGUUAUUGGACUACAUUAAAAGGUGAGGGGAUUCGAACCUAUAACCUCUUGGUCAAUGGCAUAUACGUUAACGAUAUGAACUAUGGUUGGCAUAUAUCAAGAGAUUAAAAAACUUGAUAUCUAGAUCCAAUUUUGACAGAAAUGUUAUAUUUGGAUAUUAAUGUUUAAGAUUACAUUAUUUCUUUGCCAUUUCACUUCUCUUCCUAUCAGACUGAUGCCAUUUUUUAGCUAGGGACAGAUAUCCGAGGUCUAUUGUUGAAGCAUUCACUUUGUUGCUUUCACUGUACGCACCUCGCUUGGCUGAGGAACUUUGUUCUUGGUUAGGACACACAGAAUUGUUGGCAUACGAGUCCUUCCCCGAGGUGUGACUUCUUAUCCCCCUUGCCUCCCUUGAGUACUUGAAUAUUUAAAGGCUUUAUGGUUGUGUUUGAGCCUUCUUGCAUCUACAAGGGGUAUGCAUCAGGAGAAAUAGUGUUCUACCUGAAGAACUCCACAAUUGUCCUACCUGUUCAGAUCAAUGGUUGAGGAAACAUGUACAGAAGAGGAAGCUUUCCAGCUAGCAGAACAGGAUGAAAAAGUCUCCAUGUGGCCUGCUGGCAAGAUCUUGAAUGUUAUAAUGAAUCGUCAAGGCUCCAAUGUGGCCUGCUCAAACUGUACAAUUUGCUGCAACCACCGAAAUCUCUCGCAGAUGGUAUAAUAAGCCGAUGGACGCAUGCAACAGAUUAUCAAUGAAGUCUUGUGCUUUAAUCGGAAUGAUUGAGCUUACUGGGUGGGAAUAGAAAAGUUCCUGCUAUUACAACUCGAUCAUCAAUAAGACGACGUUGUGGCUCGAUUCUUACAUUGGUAUCUUGGUUGUCGUUGAGAAUUGUUGAGAGGAGUCUCACAUCGGCUAAUCAUGAGUUUACAAGUAAAGAAUACAUUUCCACUGACAUAAGGUCGGUAAAGGAGACCAAAAGCAAAGCUGGGUGAGUUUGAGCUCUUUUCAUCCCGGUUGAGACAUUUUGUUUGGUUCGUUGAAUGAUAUGUCAUGCUCUAUCUUCUAAGAAAAAAAAAAUCAUAGUUUAUAGUUGUGAUGUAUAUCUCUUAAUUAUUGCAAUAAGUUCAGUAUAAAUGUUGUAUUAAAUAUGUUUGUCAACGGGUGUGGAGCUGGCCAACGCGUACAUAUAUUUGUUAAAUUUUCUCUUACAUCUCAAAAUUCAGAAAAUUAUACAUUAAA